UACGUAGGGAGCAAGCGUUGUUCGGAUUUACUGGGCGUAAAGGGUGCGUAGGCGGGCAGGUAAGUCAGUGGUGAAAUCUCCGAGCUUAACUCGGAAACUGCCGUUGAUACUAUUUGUCUUGAAUAUUGUGGAGGUAAGCGGAAUAUGUCAUGUAGCGGUGAAAUGCUUAGAUAUGACAUAGAACACCAAUUGCGAAGGCAGCUUACUACACAAUGAUUGACGCUGAGGCACGAAAGCGUGGGGAGCGAACAGG
rnacentral:rRNA from 1 species